GAAGUUUUCAGUUACAUUGUCAUUGGAUGGAUGGAUGCAUGACAAAGGAACUUGAACUGUUACAAUAUGAUUGUCGUAGGCAGCCUGGGUUAAUAUAGCAACUGCUCCAGGCCCAGGCAAAUAGACCACAUGAAGCUACAUGUGUUUUGUUGUAUUUAGUUUUUUCAUAAUGAAAUAGAUUGCUGUCAUCACAGCAAUAUUUCACUCAUAAAGUAUCAGAGCUAUAUUUUAUAUUGGUAAUUACAAGUAUUCUUUGGGAUGUACUGUGUAUGAUGGGUAGCUUCCCUGGAAUGUCCGC